GAUGUUAUUGUGCUCACUUCAGCAGCACAUAUUGGAAUGAUACAGAGAAGAUUAGCAUAGCCCCUGUGCAAGGACAAACAAGUAAAUUUGUGAAGCAUUCUUUUUUCUU
rnacentral:snRNA from 1 species